UACGAGGGGGGUAAGCGUUGUUCGGAAUUACUGGGCGUAAAGGGCUCGUAGGCGGCCAACUAAGUCAGACGUGAAAUCCCUCAGCUUAACUGGGGAACUGCGUCUGAUACUGGAUGGCUUGGAUUCGGGAGAGGAAUGCGGAAUUCCAGGUGUAGCGGUGAAAUGCGUAGAUAUCUGGAGGAACACCGGUGGCGAAGGCGGCAUUCUGGACCGACAUUGACGCUGAGGAGCGAAAGCCAGGGGAGCAAACGGG
rnacentral:rRNA from 1 species